AACGAACGCUGGCAGCAGGCUUAACACAUGCAAGUCGAGCGGGCAUAGCAAUAUGUCAGCGGCAGACGGGUGAGUAACGCGUGGGAAUCUACCCAACCCUACGGAAUAACGCAUGGAAACGUGUGCUAAUACCGUAUACGCCCUAACGGGGAAAGAUUUAUCGGGGAUGGAUGAGCCCGCGUUGGAUUAGCUAGUUGGUGGGGUAAAGGCCUACCAAGGCGACGAUCCAUAGCUGGUCUGAGAGGAUGAUCAGCCACAUUGGGACUGAGACACGGCCCAAACUCCUACGGGAGGCAGCAGUGGGGAAUAUUGGACAAUGGGCGCAAGCCUGAUCCAGCCAUGCCGCGUGAGUGAUGAAGGCCUUAGGGUUGUAAAGCUCUUUCGUCCGGGACGAUAAUGACGGUACCGGAAGAAGAAGCCCCGGCUAACUUCGUGCCAGCCGCCGCGGUAA
rnacentral:rRNA from 1 species